rnacentral:rRNA from 1 species
CCUACGGGGGGCUGCAGUGGGGAAUAUUGGACAAUGGGCGAAAGCCUGAUCCAGCCAUGCCGCGUGUGUGAAGAAGGCCUUCGGGUUGUAAAGCACUUUCAGUGGGGAAGAAAGCCUUGGGGCUAAUACCCUCGAGGAAGGACAUCACCCACAGAAGAAGCACCGGCUAACUCCGUGCCAGCAGCCGCGGUAAUACGGAGGGUGCGAGCGUUAAUCGGAAUUACUGGGCGUAAAGCGCGCGUAGGCGGUCUGAUAAGCCGGUUGUGAAAGCCCCGGGCUCAACCUGGGAACGGCAUCCGGAACUGUCAGGCUAGAGUGCAGGAGAGGAAGGUAGAAUUCCCGGUGUAGCGGUGAAAUGCGUAGAGAUCGGGAGGAAUACCAGUGGCGAAGGCGGCCUUCUGGACUGACACUGACGCUGAGGUGCGAAAGCGUGGGUAGCAAACAGGAUUAGAUACCCUGGUAGUC